UACGAAGGGGGCUAGCGUUGUUCGGAUUUACUGGGCGUAAAGCGCACGUAGGCGGAUCGAUCAGUCAGGGGUGAAAUCCCAGAGCUCAACUCUGGAACUGCCUUUGAUACUGUCGAUCUGGAGUAUGGAAGAGGUGAGUGGAAUUCCGAGUGUAGAGGUGAAAUUCGUAGAUAUUCGGAGGAACACCAGUGGCGAAGGCGGCUCACUGGUCCAUUACUGACGCUGUAGGUGCGAAAGCGUGGGGAGCAAACAGG
rnacentral:rRNA from 1 species